UGGGGAAUAUUGCACAAUGGGCGCAAGCCUGAUGCAGCCAUGCCGCGUGUAUGAAGAAGGCCUUCGGGUUGUAAAGUACUUUCAGCGGGGAGGAAGGCGAUGUGGUUAAUAACCGCGUCGAUUGACGUUACCCGCAGAAGAAGCACCGGCUAACUCCGUGACAGCAGCCGCGGUAAUACGGAGGGUGCAAGCGUUAAUCGGAAUUACUGGGCGUAAAGCGCACGCAGGCGGUCUGUCAAGUCGGAUGUGAAAUCCCCGGGCUCAACCUGGGAACUGCAUCCGAAACUGGCAGGCUUGAGUCUCGUAGAGGGGGGUAGAAUUCCAGGUGUAGCGGUGAAAUGCGUAGAGAUCUGGAGGAAUACCGGUGGCGAAGGCGGCCCCCUGGACGAAGACUGACGCUCAGGUGCGAAAGCGUGGGGAGCAAACA
rnacentral:rRNA from 1 species